UGCUCUUUGAAGCAGGUCUGUUGACAGGGUCUAGAUACACAUACAAUUUUAUGAAUGAUGGACCAUGAUGACAUGGCACCAGUGGAAUAUAUUAUUUCUCCAUUUUCACUGUCCAUUCAUUUAAAAAUCAGUUUUCUCAAAGCCAUUUAAAAGGGUUAAGCUGAACAUACUGUGGCCAUAGGUAGGGAACUGUUUGCAGAGAAGAUUGAGUGGUCAGUAAAGGAAGGCUACAUGGUGACUUUAUUUCUUUUGCCCAGGAGAUAAAGAUGAGUGCAGUGAAUGUUCUGUUGUCCCCUUUUUUUGGCUAUCUGGACUGUGGAUUUAGGCAUGCAGAAGUAAGCAAGCCUACCUGUCUGGUUGCUCAUUCCUUGCAGGAUGUGUGUGGAGUUGUGGACAGCUCAUCCACUGGCCUAACUGCCUAAGCCAGCACAAAGGAUGGAGGGCAUAUCCAAAGCUCUCAUAAGGAGACUGAAACCAUGGGCUGGAUUUGCUAAGAUCUGUCAAUUUUUUUCUGCCUUAUUGGGAGCAAAUAUGGACUGGAUUGCCAAGAUGGAAUUUUACCAGCCUGCCUUGAAAGCCAGCUGUAGACAGGAGAAAGCUGCCUUAGGACUUCAGUGGCCCAGGAACCAGGCCCUGUGAGCAUCCUUGCUCUGUGUUUUCCACUCCCUAUGGAUUGGUAAUACAGUUCUCAUUGCACACAGCCAAACUCAAGAGCAACAUCCACAGUUCUGGUUGUAUUGUGCCAGAAAAAACGGUUUUGAAGGACCUCAGCUGGAUUCAGCCCUAAUCCAAAAUACAAUGCUGAGGAAAUGAGGAAGGUGGGCUGAUGAGGACAAGGUGAACUCUGAAAAGAAUUGAUUCUACCCUUGCUCUGCUGCAGAACCUCAUCACCUUAAUAUUGCAGAAGUUCAUCUGCGUCCUGCAGUGCUGGUGCUAAGAAAUGAGGAGCAGUUCCUUC